UUUCUCCACCAUGGGGGCUUUUCUCACUCUUCCAACUGGCUCCGGCUCGACCCUGGCUCAUCAGAUGGCAGAGCAUUCAAGAGGCAGCUCGGUCGAGGGCUCACCGAGUGAUGAAAAGAUAAUCACCUGCUUCAGGUCAAAUGGGUCUUCUAAUGCCAACGGCCUCCACGUUAAAUGACAACCAGUGUUUUUGACUCGUAUUCAACCUAGACCACUGGAGGAGCCGAGCAUGUGCGGGAUGAGACUCCAAGGAAGCCAACCCAAAACAGCAUCUGCGAGGCCAAGGAGCUGAGCAAAGAUUUCAUAAACAGGACGCAAAACACUAACGACACAAGAAAAAGAUUGAUAAAUUGGAUUGCAUUAAAAGUCAGAACUUAUGUUCUGAUUUACAAGUUCAUAAAAAUAUUUUCCUGUUAAAGCUUUAUUGCUUCGCCUUUCGCAUUUGAAUGUAUGAUUCCCUUUUUGUGUGUUUCUCUUGCUCUAAAAAUGAUUCCUUCCAGGAAAUAGAGCUAAACAAUGUGGUUUUCAUAAGCAGGGUGCCUUUAUCCGCUGCUCAAGCUCAGGGGGUCUGAAGAGGCUUGCCUUCAACUUCCCUCUUGCCUCUUCCUCCGAUUUUAAAUUCUGGGAAGGGGGUUCUCCACCACCAUUCCAGUUGGUAUCUAUGGCCACAUUGGGUGGGGGUCGAGGGCUGAUCCAAGCAGAAUAUGUCAAGCAAAGCAUCUCAUGACCCAAAUGGCAUCAUCCCCUUUGGAUGGUCAGUAGUCAGGAAGUAGAGGCUGAAAACUGACAAAGU
rnacentral:lncRNA from 1 species